UUAAACCUUUGUUCCUGUCUGUGCAAGCCCCAUCCCGGCUGAUCUCGGAAGCUGAGCAGGGUCGGGCCUGGUUAGUACUUGGAUGGGAGACCAUCUAGGAAGACCAGGUGCUGUAAAAA
rnacentral:rRNA from 1 species